UACAGAGGGCUCGAGCGUUAUGCGGAAUCACUGGGCUUAAAGCGUGUGUAGGCGGACCGGUAAGUGCAUUGUGAAAUCCCACAGCUUAACUGUGGAACUGCUUGGUAUACUGCCAGUCUUGAGCCAGCUAGGGGCUACCGGAACAAAUGGUGGAGCGGUGAAAUGCGUAGAUAUCAUUUGGAACGCCAAUGGUGAAAACAGGUAGCUGGGGCUGUGCUGACGCUGAGACACGAAAGCCAGGGGAGCAAACGGG
rnacentral:rRNA from 1 species